rnacentral:misc_RNA from 1 species
GGCGGGAUAACCAUCCAACUGCUGGCUUUGAAAUACACAGGCCGAAGACGGGCGGCAGCGUCUUCGGUGCGACAAAGCCAGUACUGCGGUCACCAACCCGCCUGCCCAGCGUGGUGACUAUGGGCAAAACACAUGAGUUCACGUUAUUUUUGGCGUAAACUUGUGGAGGCCUAUGUCCAGCAGUGGACUGUAUAGGCUGUAAUGAUGAUGAUGAAUGCUAUUUUAAUUUUUAAUUAGAUAUUUUUAUUAAAUUGAAAUAAUUAGUGCUUAGUUUAUAAAUUAUUAUGAUUAUAU